rnacentral:misc_RNA from 1 species
GGAAUUCUGAGCUCUCACUUUCUUCCGUCCAUGGCGGCCUCGGAGAAGGAUGCUGCUCUCGCUGCUGUGCCAAGCGACGCUCCAACAAUAUUUGACAAGAUAAUAAAGAAAGAAAUUCCGGCCACCGUGGUUUACGAGGAUGACAAGGUUCUUGCAUUUAGAGAUAUAUCACCCCAAGCUCCCACACAUAUUGUAAUCAUCCCUAAAGUUAGGGAUGGAUUGACUGGGAUUUCAAAGGCAGAGGAGCGGCACAUUGAGAUCCUUGGCCGUCUUCUGUUUGUUGCUAAACUUGUUGCAAAGCAGGAAGGUCUGGAAGAUGGCUUUAGGAUUGUUAUCAACGAUGGGCCCAGUGGAUGUCAGUCUGUUUAUCAUCUUCAUAUUCAUCUUCUUGGCGGACGGCAGAUGAACUGGCCUCCUGGCUAGUGUGGAUUGCUGGCAGAGUUGCAGAGUAAGACUAUAUUUCUCGCUUCUCUAGGCUGGAAGAAGUAAACUUGCAACUUGAGGUGUCUGUUUUUCAAAUCUAUAUUUCUCGCUUCUCAUUAUUCCUUGUGCUUGAAGUUUGUACUUUUGUUGAGAGUGAGCAAUACAAUUUCACAUAUUACUCUUGCUUAGUAAAUGGAAAUACCAUUUACUAGUUGAUGUUACUCUUGUUUAGUAAAUCUCAUAAAAUAAGAAUGCUAGUUGAUGUUAUUG